rnacentral:rRNA from 1 species
AUUGAACGCUGGCGGCAGGCUUAACACAUGCAAGUCGAGCGGGGAAGGGUAGCUUGCUACCUAACCUAGCGGCGGACGGGUGAGUAAUGCUUAGGAAUCUGCCAUUUAGUGGGGGACAACAUUCCGAAAGGAAUGCUAAUACCGCAUACGUCCUACGGGAGAAAGCAGGGGAUCUUCGGACCUUGCGAUAAAUGAUGAGCCUAAGUCGGAUUAGCUAGUUGGUGGGGUAAAGGCCUACCAAGGCGACGAUCUGUAGCGGGUCUGAGAGGAUGAUCCGCCACACUGGGACUGAGACACGGCCCAGACUCCUACGGGAGGCAGCAGUGGGGAAUAUUGGACAAUGGGCGGAAGCCUGAUCCAGCCAUGCCGCGUGUGUGAAGAAGGCCUUAUGGUUGUAAAGCACUUUAAGCGAGGAGGAGGCUACUAGUAUUAAUACUACUGGAUAGUGGACGUUACUCGCAGAAUAAGCACCGGCUAACUCUGUGCCAGCAGCCGCAGUAAGAC